GCGCCCGGCUGGCUCUGAUUUCUUAAAGUGCUAAGCCUUUUUAUAUAUUCAUUUCAGACCAUGUUUAAUUUUCUAAAUAUGCAAUACAUUCAUAGGGUUUUUGAAAAGGCUUGAAAAAGUCUAGUGUGAAAGCAGUCUGUAUUAGUCCAUUUUCACACUGCUUUAGAGAAGUACCAGAGACUGGGUAAUUGUUGAAGAAAAGAGGUUUAACUGACUCACAGUUCUGCAUGGCUGUGAGGCCUCAGGAAACAAGCAGUCAUAGUGGAAGGCAAAGGGGAAGCAAGGCACAUCUUACAUGGCAGCAGCAGAGAGAGUGAGGGGGGAUGCCACACUUUAAAACCAUCAGAACUUGUGAGAACUGACUCACUAUCACAAGAACAACAGGGGAGAAACUGUUCCUGUGAUCCAGUCACCUCCCACCAGGUCCCUCCUCCGACGUGGGGAUUACAGUUUGAGAUGAGAUUUGAGUGGGGACACAGAGCCAAACCAUAUCACCUCCCAUCUCUUCAUUUAGCAAGUUCACCUACCCCAAUGGCAGCCAUGGCCGUUAGUUGUUUUUUGUUUUUUUUUUUUCUUUUUUUUUGAGACAGAGCCUCACUCUGUCGCCCAGGCUGGAGUGNNNNNNNNNNNNNNNNNNNNAGCUCCGCCUUCCAGGUUCAUGCCAUUCUCCUGCCUCAGCCUCCCAAGUGGCCCAGAGGUUUUUUCCACCAAUACAAAACCAGUAUGGAUAUAGAUCCUAGUUUCUUCUCUUUUUUAUAAAAAAAAAACUGUAGUAUAUUAUGUACUCUGUUUUAUUCCUUCCUUUUUUUUUUCUUAUAAAAAAUACAGAGAUGGGGUCUUACUACACUGACCAGGCUGGUGUUGAACUUGCCUCAAGUGAUCCUCCCAUCUUGACCUCCCAAAGUGCUGGGAUUAUAGGCAUAAGCCACCACACCCAGAUGAUUUUUUUAUUUUUCAAAGAAGUGGCAUGAUUUUGAUGACAAUAAAGGACAAUAUGUAAUUAAUGGUAAUUAUAAUACAGCCUUCUAGAGGCCAGGUGCAGUGGCCCAUGCCCGUAAUCCCACCGCUUUGGGUGGCCAAGGCAGGUGGAUCAUGAGGCCAGGAGUUUGAGACCAGCCUGGCCAACAUGAUGAAACCCCAUCUCUUCA
rnacentral:lncRNA from 1 species